UACAGAGGUCUCAAGCGUUGUUCGGAUUCAUUGGGCGUAAAGGGUGUGUAGGUGGCGCGCUAAGUCGGGUGUGAAAUUUCGGAGCUUAACUCCGAAACUGCAUUUGAUACUGGCGUGCUUGAGGACUGGAGAGGAGACUGGAAUUCAUGGUGUAGCAGUGAAAUGCGUAGAGAUCAUGAGGAAGACCAGUGGCGAAGGCGGGUCUCUGGACAGUUCCUGACACUGAGAGACGAAAGCUAGGGGAGCGAAUGGG
rnacentral:rRNA from 1 species